rnacentral:rRNA from 1 species
UACGGAGGAUCCAAGCGUUAUCCGGAUUUAUUGGGUUUAAAGGGUGCGUAGGCGGCCUAUUAAGUCAGGGGUGAAAGACGGUAGCUUAACUAUCGCAGUGCCUUUGAUAUUGAUGGGCUUGAAUGUACUUGAGGUAGGCGGAAUGUGACAAGUAGCGGUGAAAUGCAUAGAUAUGUCACAGAACACCAAUUGCGAAGGCAGCUUACUAAAGUAUGAUUGACGCUGAGGCACGAAAGCGUGGGGAUCAAACAGG